GCGACCGUUCCGCCUUGGUAUGUUUUGACCCCUUACAUAUCGCACGAAGCAAAGCGCUCAGGCCUGGGCAGGUUGCCGUGGCAACGCUUCGCACAGCCCUGGCUGGUAGAGCUGUGAAGGAUUUUGAAUGCCAGGCAGCCAGUAGGGUACAGGGUACAGUACAGGGUAAGCUCGCUUUUAUGCUGUUAUUGAGAAUUUGAUUGAAUGAGCAGGCGUUGUAAACUAUUCUAUGCAUCAAAAAGCCCUAUGUUCUGCGCAGUGCUCCUCCCUCCGAGUCCAGUGACUUUUUAAUAACUCACUUUUCUAAAGUUUUAACUUGGAUUUCUGUCACGUUUAAACGCCACCGCUCCUGGAUCUCUCUCUAUGCUGUGCCCUGCCUAGUAUUUCUGAGUCCCCUGAAAUAGGCUGUCUGCAUUCUCUUUUUUAAUGCACUGGGCCCUUUCUUUCAAAUUAGUCAGUUUGUUUCAGAUCUUGUCAUUUCUGCUAUAGGUGACUGCUCAAGAUGUGGCUUCCUGUAGUUCAGAGAAGCUUAUGUAGUAGUGUUAAGAAUAAACAGGUGUGGAACAUAUGGCCUAUAUUUGAAUAGUUGUGGGAAUAACUGUGGGAACAUGGAGCAGCAAGAAUAAGCUGUGGGACCAAUGGGCUGUGGGAACAUAGAGCAGCUGACCCCCAACAGGGUCUUCAUGGUUGUAUGACCUGAAUACAUUUUCAAAGCGGAGCCACAGGAUGCGGACUUCUACUCUUUUCCACUAUUAGACGCGCCUUUGUCCUGCACCUGGCCUCAGCGAGGUGGGAUGUGCAUACUCUUACUUUUAUAAAAAUGUUGUAUAUUGACCACUAAUUCUGUGCAUGCUGUCAUACAGAGAUGAUGACCCAUUCCUGAAGUUGGACGCCAGAAUGCAGGAAGGUGCUGUUUAAGAGCCUAGGCGGUGGAAGAAGCACUUGCAGCUAUGCUACCGACCAGGCUCCUCAACAUCAAUCCGAGACGGAAGAUGAACCGGGAUGAAGCAGUUAGAUUGAGACAAGGCGGCCGGAAACUUUGAUGACCUCAAUGACACUGGCUAGGUGAAGGACAUCAAGAAAAUGGCAUCCGGUCACCAGACAUCAGCUCAUAAGCCACAACGUCAUCAACCAUUUUGCGCCAAAAAUGAAGCCGUUCACAUACCAUGGCAUCCUAAGCAGGCAGCACCACACUACUGUGCAACAGUGAGAGAGAGCGGGCAAGGACAAGUAAAACGGACCUACACUACAGCAAGACUUUGACACUUCUCCACGUGAGAGGCAGCCAUCGCCCCCACCGUGGAGCAGUGUGUACCCAGUACCCCCAAAAGAGGAGAUGAUCCGACGCCAUCACAGCCGAUUUCCAAAAUUGUACACCAAACUCUGUAUGGGCGUGUGUGUGUGUGUGUGUGUGUGUGUGUGUG